rnacentral:rRNA from 1 species
UACGUAGGUGGCAAGCGUUGUCCGGAUUUACUGGGCGUAAAGAGCGCGCAGGCGGUCGUUCAAGUCGCGUGUGAAAGCCCCCGGCUCAACUGGGGAGGGUCACGCGAUACUGAUCGACUCGAAGGCAGGAGAGGGUAGUGGAAUUCCCGGUGUAGUGGUGAAAUGCGUAGAUAUCGGGAGGAACACCAGUGGCGAAGGCGACUACCUGGCCUGUUCUUGACGCUGAGGCACGAAGGUCAGGG